UUGCUUUUCUUUGCUGGCGACCGGCGCACGGGUGAGUAACACGUAUCCAACCUCCCCUUUACUCGGGGAUAGUCCUUUGAAAAGAAAGAUUAAUACCCGAUAGCAUAAUGAUUCCGCAUGGUUUCAUUAUUAAAGGAUUCCGGUAAAGGAUGGGGAUGCGUUCCAUUAGGUUGUUGGUGGGGUAACGGCCCACCAAGCCUUCGAUGGAUAGGGGUUCUGAGAGGAAGGUCCCCCACAUUGGAACUGAGACACGGUCCAA
rnacentral:rRNA from 1 species